AUACGGAGGGGGCUAGCGUUGUUCGGAAUUACUGGGCGUAAAGCGCACGGAGGCGGCGCACGCAGUCAGAGGUGAAAGGCCUGGGCUCAACCCAGGAACUGCCUUUGAUACUGGUGUGCUAGAGUCCGAGAGAGGGUAGCGGAAUUCCCAGUGUAGAGGUGAAAUUCGUAGAUAUUGGGAAGAACACCGGUUGCGAAGGCGGCUACCUGGAACGGUACUGACGCUGAGGUGCGAAAGCGUGGGGAGCAAACAGGAUUAGAAACCCCGGUAGUCC
rnacentral:rRNA from 1 species